CAGCAGUAGCCGCGGUAAUACAGAGGGUGCGAGCGUUAAUCGGAUUUACUGGGCGUAAAGCGUGCGUAGGCGGCUAAUUGAGUCGGAUGUGAAAUCCCCGAGCUUAACUUGGGAAUUGCAUUCGAUACUGGUUAGCUAGAGUGUGGGAGAGGAUGGUAGAAUUCCAGGUGUAGCGGUGAAAUGCGUAGAGAUCUGGAGGAAUACCGAUGGCGAAGGCAGCCAUCUGGCCUAACACUGACGCUGAGGUACGAAAGCAUGGGGAGCAAACAGGAUUAGAUACCCGUGUAGUCCCUGUCUCUUAUAC
rnacentral:rRNA from 1 species